rnacentral:rRNA from 1 species
UGGGGAAUCUUGCACAAUGGGGGCAACCCUGAUGCAGCGACGCCGCGUGAGCGAUGAAGCCCUUCGGGGUGUAAAGCUCUUUCGGCAGGGAAGAUUAUGACGGUACCUGCAGAAGCAGCUGCGGCUAACUACGUGCCAGCAGCCGCGGUAAUACGUAGGCAGCAAGCGUUGUUCGGAGUUACUGGGCGUAAAGGGUGUGUAGGCGGUUUUCUAAGUCUGGUGUGAAAUCUCCCGGCUCAACUGGGAGGGUGCGCCGAAAACUGGAAGGCUAGAGUGCGGGAUGGGUAAGUGGAAUUCCUGGUGUAGCGGUGAAAUGCGUAGAUAUCAGGAGGAACACCUGUGGUGUAGACGGCUUACUGGACCGCAACUGACGCUGAGACACGAAAGCGUGGGUAGCAAACAG